rnacentral:rRNA from 1 species
AACGAACGCUGGCGGCAUGCCUAACACAUGCCAGUCGAACGAAGGCUUCGGCCUUAGUGGCGCACGGGUGCGUAACGCGUGGGAAUCUGCCCUUUGGUUCGGAAUAACAGCUGGAAACGGCUGCUAAUACCGGAUGAUGACGAAAGUCCAAAGAUUUAUCGCCAGAGGAUGAGCCCGCGUUGGAUUAGGUAGUUGGUGGGGUAAAGGCCUACCAAGCCGACGAUCCAUAGCUGGUCUGAGAGGAUGAUCAGCCACACUGGGACUGAGACACGGCUCAGACUCCUACGGGAGGCAGCAGUGGGGAAUAUUGGACAAUGGGCGCAAGCCUGAUCCAGCAAUGCCGCGUGAGUGAUGAAGGCCCUAGGGUUGUAAAGCUCUUUUACCCGGGAAGAUAAUGACUGUACCGGGAGAAUAAGCCCCGGCUAACUCCGUG